rnacentral:rRNA from 1 species
UACAGAGGGGGCAAGCGUUGUUCGGAAUUACUGGGCGUAAAGGGCGCGUAGGCGGCCUGUUAAGUCGAACGUGAAAUCCCCCGGGCUCAACCCGGGAACUGCGUCCGAUACUGGCAGGCUUGAAUCCGGGAGAGGGAUGCGGAAUUCCAGGUGUAGCGGUGAAAUGCGUAGAUAUCUGGAGGAACACCGGUGGCGAAGGCGGCAUCCUGGACCGGUAUUGACGCUGAGGCGCGAAAGCCAGGGGAGCAAACGGG